rnacentral:rRNA from 1 species
AGUGAACGCUGGCGGUAGGCCUAACACAUGCCAGUCGAACGGCAGCACAGUAAGAGCUUGCUCUUACGGGUGGCGAGUGGCGGACGGGUGAGGAAUACAUCGGAAUCUACUUUUUCGUGGGGGAUAACGUAGGGAAACUUACGCUAAUACCGCAUACGACCUACGGGUGAAAGCAGGGGAUCUUCGGACCUUGCGCGAUUGAAUGAGCCGAUGUCGGAUUAGCUAGUUGGCGGGGUAAAGGCCCACCAAGGCGACGAUCCGUAGCUGGUCUGAGAGGAUGAUCAGCCACACGGGAACUGAGACACGGUCCAGACUCCUACGGGAGGCAGCAGUGGGGAAUAUUGGACAAUGGGCGCAAGCCUGGUCCAGCCAUACCGCGUGGGUGAAGAAGGCCUUCGGGUUGUAAAGCCCUUUUGUUGGGAAAGAAAGGCAGCAGGUUAAUACCCCGCUGUUCUGACGGUACCCAAAGAAUAAGCACCGGCUAACUUCGUG